GUGUAUGAGUGUGUAUGUGAGUGUGUGAGUGAGGGGGGAGAGAGACAGACGACGGGAGAGUUCUGUUCUUUCACUGCUCCAUCCGGGAACUUUAGAAUUAGCAUUGACAGCCGAAGCGCAACUUUUCUCCAGGCAAAGUGAAAUCAAGCCGCGGACUCGGACAAAAUCUAGUCCCCCUUUUUCAACUCGAAAUUAUCGAAAGAAGCGGCACGCCACGAUUUGGUCGGAUGUAUCGAUAUUCGGACGUAUUUGGGAUGUAACUGACCGAGGUCCUGGCUCUUUCCGCUGUGUUUGGACCACUUUUUUCGACGGGCGUAAAGUGGGUGAUGAGUCCUACCCUGUAAAGAAGCGAGAACUUGCUUUUGCAGCCCCGAGUAGUUCUUCUUUCAAUUGUUAUUGCCGCUUUAAAAAAAUCUUUAAUUCACUUAAACUUCGUACGCAUCGCGUCGAAAGUGGGAGAAAAGUGCUUUUGAAGUCGGACCAUGGAACUACAAGGCCUACAAGAGGCGCUGAAAGUAGAGAUCCAAUGCCAUCAGGAUGGAGAGCUUAAGAAACAGCUGCACGACAGACACCCCAGAAUAACAAGCCUAAGCGAGAAACAAGUAAGCCCUCCCCUUGCACUCCACCACCACCACCACCACCAUCACGCUUUUACACAUUACUUUGGUACAUUUCCACCCCGAUGGGGGACUAUCCGUGUGCUACUAAAUCACCACAAACAAUGUUAAGCUGGUCUAAAAGUGGCGGCGGAUGGUUGUCGUGGUUGCCCCAGAGGACCGGGGUGAUGGCCGCCGCGAGGAGCCACGUUCCUCCAUGUCUAAAGUUGUGUAACAGGAACCGUUGAGAAAUGUAGCGUCCAUUUUGAGCAGGUCGACGUGUUUCUGGAGUGGAGCGGGCUAAUAAAGGAGAGGCUUAAGUCGAGUAGUGGGGGGACUUUUGAGACACAGUUACCAUGUCUAAAGUUGUGUAACAGGAACGGUUGAGAAAUGUAGCGUCCAUUUUGAGCAGGUCGACGUGUUUCUGGAGUGGAGCGGGCUAAUAAAGGAGAGGCUUAAGUCGAGUAGUGGGGGACUUUUGAGACACAGUUACAGUUUAAGUUUACGGUUGGUGGUUGUCGUGUCGUCGACAGUGGCGAUCGAAGAUAACGUUUUUUAUUUCGUAUGGUCGUGUCGCCACACUGUCGUCCGUUUUCGGUGACUUUACGGCGAGUCUUGUAGUAUUAUUUCUUUUUUUUCGGUCACAUGACGUCAAGGUUGCGUUUGAUUCGCCCACGAUUACGCUUUCACUUUUUUUUCUCUCCUCUCGCCACUCUCUCAUAGCGAAAGCAAGCCCUUUUAAUAACUUAAUAACUUCCCUUUACGAAUUAAAGGCCGUUUUUAAGUCUGCCGUGGUUGUUGUCUUGGAGGCUAUGGUGGUUCAGCACUUUAGCAGGAGCCGUCCUGCUGUCGUUCAGCACCACGGACAGCUGCCGCGGAGCACUUAAAGUCACAACGCUGCUCUCACACAUACACACCUUUAUUAUAUCUAUAACUUCUCCGAUCUUUUAUUUAAAGAUACCAAACGACAACGAAAGUUAGUCUGGAUUGGAAAUCCUAGUGUUGUUUUAGCGAUUUAGUGUGUUUUUGGCGUGGUUUGUGCCACUCUCUCCUCUCUGAAAUGAAACCUUUAAGCAUUUCUCUGGAGUUAAUCGAUUCCAUUUCCUGUGGAAUGCAGUUUUCAGGACUUGGACCAGCAGCGCCUCGCUUUGAGACGCGAUCAAACCCGACGCCGAUCCGCACACACUCGACGCCAAUCCCGGUGUAUUUAUCGAGUCUAGCUCGUUUGUACACCCGUGUACAAAAUGUUUUGUGUUUUGUUGUGGUUGCUUUUCGGGAAAGCGCCCUCAGUUUGGUAGUGGAAGCUUCCAUUUUGUGGCGAGAAGGGGGUGGUUUCUUCCCCAACAUGGAGAAAAAGUCUGCAGAGUUUCGUGCAGGGGGGGGAUGGGCCCCAUUCAUGCCUAACAUUACCAUUUUGAUUGCUUUGAUGCUGUUUUUGGUGGAGGGGGAGGGGUAGCCAGAGAGAAGACAGAAUGCCCGAGUCAGCACUGCACAGUGGCUUUUUAAUCACUGCAUGUAGCCUAACUGAGACUCUUUUAUUUCUGUAUGAAAUAUGACCUCUACUUCAGUGCCCACCUACCAACUGGUUAUUGCUAGUACAUAAAGAACACAUGGUUUCGUUUUAACCCCUUUUCUAAAUGCUUUCGAGGUCAGUUUAGAUACUUUUACACAUGCAUGGUAGAAAAUAAGUAUGUGUAUAGGGUAAACAUUAUUGUAUAACUAAACAUCAUUGUUUAACUAUCCGUUUUGGCUAUAUAGGCUCUAUAAACAUUUCCCUGUGUUAAUAUGAACUUAGUAUUUUUGGGUUAGGGUUGUUAUGUGCUGAAAUGGUAAAAAAUAUUAGCUGUCAUGUAUAUGGAUUACAUGUAUAGCAGUUACAAUGUAAACAGAGGGCUAGUUUAAGUAAGUAAGCCUAUAUAAUCAAUGUCAGUUAAGUCAAUGUUUUGUAAGCUAUCGUUUGCAACAUAAAAUAAGUCUAAAUAAAGGAAAACAAGAAAGAAAUAGCCCAAAAAAGAAAAUAAUAUUACCAUCUGUGGAACAAGGACUUCUAGUUUAUUUUCCCAAUUGUGUUAUAGCUGUAUUGGCGAUUUAAACACCUUAACUACCUUUUUUAUCCACGGUUACAAAAGAUCACAACUUCCAUAAUAUGAAGGCCAGAAAAGAUAAAAAAACAACAUAACAACAACAACUACAAAAACAACAUAUACGAUGGGUGGUGAAUGAUACAUUUGGUUGGAAUCACUGAGAGAAACUACAUUGUUGUGCUCCAGGCCUCAACAUACAGCUGUAGGCUAACCUGCUCACCGGAGCUAAUGGUUGUGCUUGUGAAUCCAAAAUGACAAAUGAGUCACGAGUCACAGUGGCUCUGUCUGGCUGUGUCUCCAUCGCUUAGGAUUUUCCUCAUUAAACCCUUUGGGGUAUUUGAUAUUUUUUUUGGGUCAAACUUAAUUCUCUACUUUUGUGUUUAAGAAGUUGUAUUUUCAUUAUUUCGUCAAAACGAAGCGAGAAACCCACUUUAUAGACGUCAAAGUACUAGAAUAUAUCCGAUAUAUUGAUGAUCUGAUGUUGACGUUUUAUACAUUUAUUUUUUAAUAAGAAACCCAUUGAUUUAGUUUUCUUCCGUGCUUCACUUGCUCUGCGUUGCGUCAUGGAAACCGGGUUUCUCACCUCGCAAAAGCCCCAGGCCUCAACGUACUUUAUUGUUGUUCUUUACUCUGACGGUUCUAAUAAAAAUAAUUGCACCAUGAUGAUGUUCCCGUUACACCAUCUUGCAGAGGACUACCCUACCCACACAGAUCAAUCCUGCUUGUUACGCUAGUGCGCUUGUUUACGUUGUGUUGGCAUCCGAGUACAAUGUUAAUCAGGAGAAUAUCUGACACACACUCACACACACACACACACACACACACACACACACACACACACACACACACACACACACACACACACACACACACACACACACACACACACACACACACACACACACACACACACACACACAGAGAGACAAACAAAG